CCUACGGGAGGCUGCAGUGAGGAAUAUUGGUCAAUGGGCGUAAGCCUGAACCAGCCAAGUCGCGUGAGGGAUGAAGGUUCUAUGGAUCGUAAACCUCUUUUAUAAGGGAAUAAAGUGUGGGACGUGUCCUAUUUUGUAUGUACCUUAUGAAUAAGGAUCGGCUAACUCCGUGCCAGCAGCCGCGGUAAUACGGAGGAUCCGAGCGUUAUCCGGAUUUAUUGGGUUUAAAGGGUGCGUAGGCGGCCUUUUAAGUCAGCGGUGAAAGUCGGUGGGUCAACCAUCGCAUUGCCGUUGAAACUGGGGGGCUUGAGUAUGUUAGAGGCAGGCGGAAUGCGUGGUGUAGCGGUGAAAUGCUUAGAUAUCACGCAGAACCCCGAUUGCGAAGGCAGCCUGCCGGGCCAUGACUGACGCUGAUGCACGAAAGCGUGGGGAUCAAACAGGAUUAGAUACCCUAGUAGUC
rnacentral:rRNA from 1 species